rnacentral:lncRNA from 1 species
GUUUACGUUGCCGUUUCUAAUGAUAUCUCAAGUCUUCUCCUGAAGUUCAUGCGAUGUCACUUGGGUUCCAUUUCUUCUCUCAUCCAAUAAAAUAAAAAUAAAAGGAAGGUGGUCUCACAUACACACACACACACACACACACACACACACAGAGAGAGAGAGUGCUGCUACUUAUGUAACCUAAGCUCUGCCCGCAUGAAUUCCAGACCAUAAGCUAGUCGAAUCGGCAGUCAACUUGGCUAUCAAGUAUCAGGAAACUUGCAAUGCUUUCCCUCGCGUUUUUUUCAAUAGCGCUAAGAAAGCGAGCCCUAAAGAGCUGUCAACUUUGUCAUCCAAAAGACCAAGAAAUGGUUUGGAGAGCAAUAAGUUUGGUCAGGGUAUCUGCUGGAAUGAGUAGGAUGAUAUUUUUUUUUUUGUGGAUACAUGCAGGCGGUCACAUCAUUUUGGUGUGAGAGCAGUUCAAAAAGUCAGAAUACAAAAAUUUCUACAAGAUCGAUGGGAUAUUGUCAUCUUGUCGCUAAGUCCAGUCUCCAAAGUGCUCAGCAACAAACGAUGCGAUCCAAUCUGUCGCGCUGUUCACCUUCCGAUAAACAUGCCACACUACCACUGUAGCUAAGAAGCAAAGCAUAGUCC